rnacentral:lncRNA from 1 species
AUGCUUUUUUGUUUCCAAUAGUUGUAUUGUUUGUUACAUUAAUUGUGUUGUACAAUUGGCUGGCAUUUGAUUCUUUAGUCAUCCAAAUAAUAUAACUUUGCAAAACAAACUUAGGUGAAAAUUGCAGUGUUCUAUUACUCAGUUUUGUUUUAUAUUAUAUUUUUUUUAUAGAUGACUAAUCUGGUUGCUCUCUUUGCCACAUACUUCUUGAAAUUUUAGCUGAUCCCAAUUGAAUUUUGUGAAUUUGAAGUGCUUUGACCGCAUUGAUUUAUUAUCGAAGAAUAUGAUUAUGAAUCACUGAGAUGAAAUAGAAUGUAGAAAUUUUGAGUAGGUGAUGAAGAGAUACAACAUUAUUUAUAAUCAAUGUUGAUUUAAUAUAUUUUUUCUCAACUCUUGUCCAAACCCUGUAAAGUAACUUCUCAACUU